rnacentral:rRNA from 1 species
UACGUAGGGUGCGAGCGUUGUCCGGAAUUAUUGGGCGUAAAGGGCUCGUAGGCGGUCUGUCGCGUCGGUAGUGAAAACUCAGGGCUUAACCCUGAGCCUGCUUCCGAUACGGGCAGACUAGAGUUCGGUAGGGGAGUCUGGAAUUCCUGGUGUAGCGGUGAAAUGCGCAGAUAUCAGGAGGAACACCGGUGGCGAAGGCGACCUUCUGGGCUGUACCUGACACUGAGGCACGAAAGCAUGGGGAGCGAACAGG